GAUGAACGCUGGCGGCGUGCCUAAUACAUGCAAGUCGAGCGAACAGAUAAGGAACUUGCUCCUUUGACGUUAGCGGCGGACGGGUGAGUAACACGUGGGUAACCUACCUAUAAGACUGGGAUAACUUCGGGAAACCGGAGCUAAUACCGGAUAACAUUUGGAACCGCAUGGUUCUAAAGUGAAAGAUGGUUUUGCUAUCACUUAUAGAUGGACCCGCGCCGUAUUAGCUAGUUGGUAAGGUAACGGCUUACCAAGGCGACGAUACGUAGCCGACCUGAGAGGGUGACCGGCCACACUAGAACUGAGACACGGUCCAAACUCCUACGGGAGGCAGCAGUAGGGAAUCUUCCGCAAUGGGCGAAAGCCUGACGGAGCAACGCCGCGUGAGUGAUGAAGGGUUUCGGAUCGUAAAACUCUGUUAUUAGGGAAGAACAAAUGUGUAAGUAACUGUGCACGUCUUGACGGUACCUAAUCAGAAAGCCACGGCUAACUACGUG
rnacentral:rRNA from 1 species